rnacentral:rRNA from 1 species
GACAGAGGGUGCGAACGUUGUUCGGAAUUACUGGGCGUAAAGCGCAUGUAGGCGGCAGCGCAAGUCGGGCGUGAAAUCCCACGGCUCAACCGUGGAAGUGCACUCGAAACUGCGCAGCUAGAGUCCUGGAGAGGAAGGUGGAAUGCUUGGUGUAGAGGUGAAAUUCGUAGAUAUCAAGCGGAACACCGGUGGCGAAGGCGGCCUUUGGACAGUGACUGACGCUGAGAUGCGAAAGCGUGGGAGCAAACAGG